AGAGCGUGGUCCCCCACACGGGUACUGAGACACGGACCGACUCCUACGGGAGGCAGCAGUAAGGAAUAUUGGUCAAUGCCCGCAAGGGUGAACCAGCCAUUCCGCGUGGAGGAUGAAGGCCCUAUGGGUUGUAAACUUCUUUUAGAUGGGAAGAAAAUGCUAGAUGUAUCUGGUACUGACGGUACCAUCAGAAUAAGCACCGGCUAACUCCGUGCCAGCAGCCGCGGUAAUACGGAGGGUGCGAGCGUUAUCCGGAAUUACUGGGUUUAAAGGGUGCGUAGGCGGAUGAUUAAGUCUAAGGUGAAAGUUUUGUCGCUUAACGAUAAAAUUGCCUUGGAUACUGGUUAUCUUGAAUAAGGAUGAGGAUGGCGGAAUGUGGCAUGUAGCGGUGAAAUGCAUAGAUAUGCCAUAGAACACCAAUUGCGAAGGCAGCUAUCUGGUCUUUUAUUGACGCUGAGGCACGAAAGCGUGGGAUCGAACAGGAUUAGAUACCCUGGUAGUCCACGCCCCAAACAUCGGAGUU
rnacentral:rRNA from 1 species